AAAAGUUUAAAGACAUGCAACCUUUUAGAAGAUUUGGAAGGUUGCACAUGACAGAUCUGGAAGAGAAGAUAAGGGAAAAGGUUUUUCAACAGAAGAAGUGGAAAAUUCAGUUGCAUCUGUUCAGAAAUUAU